CAUUGGGUUUAAAGGGUCCGUAGGCGGGCUAUUAAGUCAGAGGUGAAAUUGUGCAGCUCAACUGUAGAACUGCCUUUGAUACUGAUAGUCUUGAGUUAUGGUGAGGUAGCCGGAACAUGUGGUGUAGCGGUGAAAUGCAUAGAUAUCACAUAGAACGCCGAUUGCGAAGGCAGGUUACCAACCAUAUACUGACGCUGAUGGACGAAAGCGUGGGGAGCGAACGGGAUUAGAUACCCCGGUAGUCCACGCCGUAAACGAUGGAUACUAGCUGUUGGGUUUUCGGACUCAGCGGCCAAGCGAAAGUGAUAAGUAUCCCACCUGGGGAGUACGUUCGCAAGAAUGAAACUCAAAGGAAUUGACGGGGGCCCGCACAAGCGGUGGAGCAUGUGGUUUAAUUCGAAGCAACGCGCAGAACCUUACCAACCCUUGACAUCCUGUGCUACAUCCAGAGAUGGAUGGUUCCCUUCGGGGACGCAGUGACAGGUGCUGCAUGGCU
rnacentral:rRNA from 1 species